rnacentral:rRNA from 1 species
CCUACGGGUGGCAGCAGUGAGGAAUAUUGGUCAAUGGACGAGAGUCUGAACCAGCCAAGUAGCGUGAAGGAUGACUGCCCUAUGGGUUGUAAACUUCUUUUAUAAAGGAAUAAAACGAGGCACGUGUGCCUUUUUGCAUGUACUUUAUGAAUAAGGAUCGGCUAACUCCGUGCCAGCAGCCGCGGUAAUACGGAGGAUCCGCGCGUUAUCCGGCUUUAUUGGGUUUAAAGGGAGCGUAGAUGGGUUGUUAAGUCAGUUGUGAAAGUUUGCGGCUCAACCGUAAAAUUGCAAUUGAUACUGGCAGUCGUGAGUACAGUUGAGGUAGGCGGAAUUCGUGGUGUAGCGGUGAAAUGCUUAGAUAUCACGAAGAACCCCGAUUGCGAAGGCAGCUUACUAAACUGUGACUGACAUUGAUGCUCGAAAGUGUGGGUAUCAAACAGGAUUAGAUACCCGUGUAGUC